rnacentral:tRNA from 1 species
GCGGGCGUAGCUCAGUUGGUAGAGCGCGAGCUUCCCAAGCUUGAGGUCGCCGGUUCGAACCCGGUCGCCCGCU